GGCGUGGUAGCCAAGUGGUAAGGCAGGGGUCUGCAAAACCCUUAUUCGUGGGUUCGAUUCCCACUCACGCCUCCA
rnacentral:tRNA from 1 species